rnacentral:rRNA from 1 species
UAGGGAAUUUUGCGCAAUGGGCGAAAGCCUGACGCAGCAACACCGCGUGAGCGAUGAAGCCCCUUGGGGUGUAAAGCUCUGUCAGUGGGGAAGAAUAAAUGACUGUACCCACAAAGGAAGCAUCGGCUAACUACGUGCCAGCAGCCGCGGUAAGACGUAGGAUGCAAGCGUUGUCCGGAAUUAUUGGGCGUAAAGAGUUCGUAGGCGGCAUAUCAAGUCUGGUGUUAAAGACUGGGGCUCAACCCCAGAAGGGCACUGGAUACUGAUAAGCUGGAGUACAGAAGAGGCAAGGGGAAUUCCCAGUGUAGCGGUGAAAUGCGUAGAUAUUGGGAGGAACACCAGUGGCGUAAGCGCCUUGCUGGGCUGUUACUGACGCUGAGGAACGAAAGCCAGGGGAGCAAAUGGG